AGAGUUUGAUCAUGGCUCAGAACGACGCUGGCGGCAUGCCUAACACAUGCAAGUCGAACGAAUCCUUCGGGCUUAGUGGCGCACGGGUGCGUAACGCGUGGGAAUCUGCCCUUAGGUACGGAAUAACUCAGGGAAACUUGUGCUAAUACCGUAUGAUGUCGAGAGACCAAAGAUUUAUCGCCUAGGGAUGAGCCCGCGUAGGAUUAGCUAGUUGGUGGGGUAAAGGCCUACCAAGGCGACGAUCCUUAGCUGGUCUGAGAGGAUGAUCAGCCACACUGGGACUGAGACACGGCCCAGACUCCUACGGGAGGCAGCAGUGGGGAAUAUUGGACAAUGGGCGAAAGCCUGAUCCAGCAAUGCCGCGUGAGUGAAGAAGGCCUUCGGGUUGUAAAGCUCUUUUACCCGGGAAGAUAAUGACUGUACCGGGAGAAUAAGCCCCGGCUAACUCCGUG
rnacentral:rRNA from 1 species